UGGGCUGCUCCUCUGCCUGCCAUUCCCGGAUCAGGGCGAUCAGCUCCAAGUCCCGGUCCCUGAGACCAGCUUCCUGUGCCCCUCCCUUCCCGAGGCUUUGAGCUGGCUUGGGGGAGGGGGUGACCCCUGCAGAGCUAAGGCAAAUGAGAGCAGCCUGGGCAGGAGAGGCACUGGGACGGAGGCCAGUGGGCUGCUGGUGGGGCAGGGGACCGCAGUUCCGAGGGUCCGUGGAAAAGAGGGCAUCUGGCUGAACCUGAGGCUUUGGGGGAUCCCAGUGGGACCUUGGAGGGGGUGUCUCUGGGAUGUGACUUUUAACUGAGGAAGAAGGUGUUAGGGGAACAGGAAGUCCCCAGACCAGGUGCUCAUUCUUGGCUGCACUUUAGACUCACCCGGGGAGCUUUAAAACCCGGGGCCAGACCUGUGACAGGUUAAUACCCACGUCUCUAGGCGUGGGGCCCAGACAUCUGUAUUUUAUGAACCCGCAGCUGAGCUAGAAGGGCCUUCUGCUGGGGGGUGGGGCACAGUGGGGAAGGAAUUCUUCUUUCUGGGGGAGGUGGGGGCCUGAUGCUUCUGAAGGAAAACUGGGAUCCCUCGUGGGAAGCCAGAGUCCACGGUGUUUGCCCUAGAAUGGCCUGGGGCUGGGUACCCUCUCCCGGCCAUGCUCUCAGCCCCAUCCCUGGGUCGUGGCGGUCCUGGGCUUUGUACGAACCCGGGGUCAAAUCCUGACGUUGCUCCUCCUGCCUGCCCCAGGCGAGCGGCAGGCCUUUCUCCUGAAGGGACCUUCAGGUGCUGAGCUGUUUGGACGGUGGCUCCUGUGUCUGUCUGGAGCUCCAGCCAAGCCUCCAAUUCUGGAACCGGUUCCUCCAGCUGGAGGCCUUGAUGCGUGUGAGGAGUUGCACGUUGGCGAGGCUUUGGGGCUGCCAGACCAGGGUGGGGGCGUCCCAUGGGCAGAUGAGCCGCCGGCCUCCCCAGCACCGUCACGGCCCCCAGCUGCUCCCUAUCUGUAGGAUGGGCCUGCGGAGGCCUUGUCAGAGGUGAGGGCUCAGAUGUUAUGCGUGCCACCUGCCUGCCCCCGUGGGUCUGUGCAGGGCGCGGGCUGCAAACCUCAGGGGCCUGGGGUCAGCCCCCAAGUGUCUGUGUCAAGUGGCUGGUCAGUCCCUGACCAGGGUGUUCCAUCACCCCUGGCUCAGCCUGUACGACCAUGCGCGCUUUCCUGUGGGCCUCUACGGUAGGAACAGCCACGGCCCUCUUGUUCUCGGGCUGUUGGGAGUUAAGUGCUUUCUUAUAAAGAGCUCAGAGCAGCGCCUGGCACCAAGGGCCCCUGUGUACGGGUUUGUCAGAAGCACGCGGUCAUCCCUGUCUCUGGCUCUAGGAUUCCCGGGACUUGUAACUUCCGAAAUCCAGAAGGCUCUGUGCCCCUGGCCUCUGGUCCUGCCACGUUUGGUGUGGGCGGUGGCUGCUUCUCCAACCGAGAUCUCCAGGCUCAAGGUCCACACCAGCCCCGCGGACCCUCCCCACUGGGGACGGACGCUCCCCACCGGGGCCGCACCCACCCCAGGGUCUUCAUCCCAUGCUCACACCACACCAGCCCCUGCAGACCCUCCCCCCUGGGGCUUCUGGGGUCGCACCCCCCCACCCACCCUGGUCUUGAUCCCAGGCUCACACACUGGCCCCCUCCCCAGCAGCAGCUUGCCUGCUUGUUGCCGGCCCUGUGGCGGUGGGAUUGCACCCCAGGUCAGCAGGAGGGAGGUGAGAUACGCCCUCCCCGCCCCAGCCCCGCCCUUCCCCGAGCUCAGAUGCUUCUGUGGCCACAGGCAGCAAUAAAAGGAAUCGAUCAGUAGGCUUUCAGUCAGGUUAAGCCCUCCCGAAGGAAGAUCCAUGUGUCAAACUGAGGAGGGCCGGGCCUGCCGGGUCGGGGCGGGCGGGGUCCUCCUUUGUGCUAACCGCAGUCUCCUCUCCCCCUGAACUGAGCCCGAGCCCAGGGCUCCGCCUGUCCUGCCACCCUGCCUGGUUGAGGGGGCUGGCAGGCCGGCUGCCUUCGUGUGACGUGGGUCACAUGGGGUCGCUUCUUGCUCCGCUGUUCAUCUUCCCCGGAGGGUCUGACUUGCAGGGUAGGGAUUACCCCCACUGACUGUUAGCCGGGAGAUACAGGGGGGUCCCAUGGGGCCUGCCUUCCUGCCCGCCAUCAGACAGCUGGUAAGCCGUGUGAAACGGGAAAACCAAAGGGUGUGAGUGGAUUCGUCCUGCUGAAUUCCUGGCAUUCAUUUAUCUUUGUGUUUUUGUAACUUUUACAUAGGGUGUGUGGUCUCUCUCUCUGUUGACUUACAGGUGAGGCUGGGCUAGACUAGACAUCAGAGGUGGAUGCAGGUGGAGCUCAAGGUCUGCAGGUGGGGAUGCUGGAGGGACUUUGAGCACCCCAGAGGCACUGGGGCCCUGUCCACCGCCUCCUUGCGAGUAGGGGAGGGUGGGCUGCCCCCAUUUAGCAGCAUGAGAACACUGAGGCUCAGAGUCGGCCCCCGGGGUUGCGUUCAGAUGGCCUUGUGUGAAGGAUUUCUGGUCAGCCCUGCUUGGACUCACCAAGGGGAGCGGACCUGUGGGCUGAGAUUGUAGGUUUUACAUCAGCUUGACGGCCAGGUCUCUCCUUUGCCAACACGUUGACGUAGCUUUCUGCAGCCUGCAUUUCACCUAAAAACAGGUCUUGUGAGACUCUGAGACUCCGGAGGGCUCCCUUAGGAGGCAUGCCAGUCCUGGGAGCCUGUCACCCGGGCCAGGGAGUGCAUUUUAACCAAACAGCUGGCUUCCUAGCUGAAGCUGGCAGGUCCGCGUUGCCUGCCUGCCUGCCUGCCUUCUCGUACCAUGUGCGGUGGGGUGUCAGGGCUGGGCUGCCCCAGCCAGGGCGCUCAGCAGACCUUGGGUUUGACCACUGCAGUCUCCAGCAGUGUCCCUGGCACAUGCAGUGAGCCCCCCACGGGUGUGUUGACACCUCAGGAUUGAGUGUUGGAUAGAUUUUGAGAGGGGAAAGGUCUGGGUGUGAGGGCUUGAGACAUCUUUAAAAGACAUUGGCCAGAUUGCUCCAGAAAGCGUGGCAGGGACUCGCCUUUCUGCCCGCCAGCACAACCCAGACCUUUGUUUACCUGACUCUGGUGAGUGGUUCCCUCCACGCCCCUCAGCCCUUGGUUUCUAAGGAUGUCCAUCCUCCCCACUAGGGGAGGAAAAAAAGCCUGUGACCAGCCUCGCCUGUUGCUGCACCCCUGGCAGGUUUUGGGUAGACUGGACCACUUCUUGCCCUGUGAUCCUUGACUCCUAGGAGGUGGUACCCGUGAGAGCCAGUUCUGGCCCCAGCAUCCUGCCUCAGGCACUGGGACCUUACACGUUCCCGGUUGGAGCCGUGGGGGAGUUUUUGUUUGUUUUUUUUUGAGAAAGUGAAGGAUUACUUAGGCCUCAGCAGUUGGCUCAGGAAGUUGGUGGAGGAUGGCUGUGGCCGGCUUGACCUGGCUUAGGACACGGUUGGGACUGGGGAGCUCAUGGCUGGUGGCUUGUGACUGUUUUUGCAAACUUUUACCCGGUGGACCCGCUUUGAAAUGCAUUUUGGCUGCAGGAUAGUGUUUUUGUCCCCCCUCGCCACCCAGUGGAGCAUUUUCGGGCGUCUGGGCAUGGUACAUGGGGCUUUGAAGAUGGUGUUUCCUCCGGGUGAGGAAACACUGUUAGAGUCUGGACCACAGGACCACCUUAAGAACUUAGUAUCUUACCUCUGACACCCUGUGCCUGGGUGGAACACGUCAGGGACAGUGUUGGUACUUGGGGAGUAGAGGAUUCUGUGCUGUAGAUGUCUGUACCCUGGGUUCUGGGAUGCCACGCACCUCCUCACACACAUCCCUGUGGGUUUACAGAUGAGCUUCUCUGGACUUGGUCAGACUGACUACGUGCAGGAUUCGGGGUUGGGGGUGCAGAGGACUUGGUCUGCCCCUUUGAACCCUAUUGAGAAUGGAUCUUUUGCAAAAGCAACAAAACAUAAGUUGAGGCCAGGUCCUGGCUUUGAUUCAGGUGGGACCCACCCUCUGUUGACAAAUGCCAGGCUCCCCCCCGAAGCUGAGGGUGGGGCUGGACUUCUUUCUGCUGCGUCUGGAUGGACAGGGUGCCAGCGUCGGAGCUGAGCGUCCUGGCUGCGUGCGCGUUUGUUAAGCUCUCAUGGACCCAGUUCAUCCCCCAAAGCCGCGUGGCUUCUAAACUGGCGACCCCUCUGGCCUUGAGUGAGCCCACCAGCCUGAGAGAGUGGGAGAGUGGGAUAGACUGAGGGGGAGUUCCCACUCUCGGGAUAUGGUUGCUGGCUCCUGAUUUUCCAGGGGAAAUUGGAAAUCUUCAUUUUGACCAGAAACCUCCAGUUUUAAGUUACCGCCCAUCGAUUCACAUUUAAAGAUGUCUUGACUUCGCGCCAAAUAACGAGGAUGCUGGAUGAAAGAUGGCCCCUUCGCCUCUGCCCGCUCCUGCCUAGUCCCCGCCCCCAGGGGUGCCGACGGGGACACUGAGGCUCGGAGCGUAUCGGGACCGGACAGGCCCCCGCUAGGAAGUUUGGGGGGCCGGGCCCGGACCCCAUCUUCUGGCUGGCUUCCUAGCUAAGCCCCGACUUAGCUCCUGGGGGUCCUGCCCUGUGACACCCCAGAGUGGCCCGCCUGCCUGGGCAUGACCCAGGCGCCUUCCUUCUCCUGAUGGACCAGCCUUCAGCUGAUGGACGUGAGGGUGGGGCCGCCGUGCCUGUUCCGUGGGCUGAGGACCUCCCAAGUGCCCUUUGAGGCUGGGGGUGCAAGUGCACAGGCCCGCCCUAUGGACGGCUUUGCUGACCCCCCUGCGGUACGGAAGGGGCAUGGGUGCUCUGCUUCGUGUUCCCCUCUCACCUGAGGGGUUUAGACACCCGGGGCCCGGGCACGCCCCGUCAGCAGCGGCCUCACGUCUCAUCUCCCAGCCAGGUGUCCUCCCUUCGGGAAAAGGGCCUUGACCCCUGCUCUGCUGGCCUGUUGCCCCGCCUGCCCGCCCUGGCCAGCUGCUCCGUGGAAGCUUGGAGCGCGCUGCCUCCUCCUGGCCAGGCCGCCCUCCGUCUGCCCAUCCCAGGCUGCUCCAGACACCACCCGCUUGGAAUAAUCACCGUCAAAUGUCGCUGCCAUCUGCUGCCUGACUUCCGUCCUUCGCCUCCACCAGAACCUCCGGGAUCCCUCACGUCUGCGGCCUUGAACCUCAGCCGCUCACUGGGCUGUCCUGGGAGGCCUCCAUCGGCAGGCCGCCCAGGUCCAGGCCCUGCCCAGCGCUCUCCUCUCCACCCCGGGAGCCAGCCUAGGGGCCUAGUCCCACCCACACCUCCCGGCUCCCCUGGCACCCCUGUCCUGAGUGACAGGCCUGUGUGGGGGGUUUGUCCUGAGCACUCUUCUCCCUGGGACCCAGUUUCAGCCUCCCGAGAGCCCCCAUGCCCCUUGUCACUGCCGUGGCAGUGUGUGGGCAAGGCCGGGGAGAACCCAGAAUGCUGCACAUCCCCCACCCCACCCUGUUGACUGCAGGGCCCUCCCUGAACCCAUUUGUGGCAGCUUUCCCAGGGACCCCAGAAAUGAGCUCUGCAGACGGCUCAGCCCGUGGGGCUGGUUCUGGGAGUGCUGAGGGCUUCCAUUGUCACUGACUGGGGUCCUGGCAGACCCUCUGUGGCUCCUGCCUUCCCAAUCCCCUAGUAACUACGCAGCCGCAUGAGCGAGAGGACUGCGGGGGAGGGCGGCGGGCUUGUCCUCAGAUGAGCUGCCUCGUUAGCGUUCUACUCCUGAGCCAGGGUUGGCGCUGGGCACACGGGCCCACGGGCCGGCCUCGCCUGCCCCCCGCUCCCUGUCCUUCUCGGCGGUUCCGGGUCAGGAUGCAGGCCGUCCUCUGCUCCAGCAGUUAGUGGUGGACCGGAGCCUUGGGGAGGAUGUCCAGGUCUGGGACUCCGGGCAAGAAAAGUCCCCCGCCACCCGGUCCCCUUAGAAAUCCACAACCCAAGGGGUUGUCCUUGGAAAAGAACAAGGGGGUCUAAGGCAGGCCACCUCUGUGCAUCCAGGGGCCAGGACGCCUUCCCAGGCUCUCCCCGGUGCUGCCCCCGCCCCCACGCAAGAAAAACUGCUGCGUGCGAGUGAGCUCAGAACACGCCGGAAGGCAAAUAUAAUGAAUGUGUUAUGAAGCUGCUCAGGCUCCCGGGGUCACGUGGUGCCCCACGCCGCCAUCGUCUGCCUGCCUGCCGGGUCUCUGCUCAGGUGACCCCAGUUCGUUAGGGCUGCACAAGCAUCGCCCCUUCGGGGUGGGGGGCGGUGCGUGGAGGCCCAGAGCUGGGGGACACCUUGUAUAUUUGUUCACAAACAUUUCUGUCUGCGGUAAUGAAGAAUUACCGAGAGGGGUGAUUAGAGAACCCAGGUCUGGACUGCGCAUGCAGAGCUGACUGAGGCCCUGCUGGGCCCGGCCUUGUGGGGUGUAAUUACCCUGGGGCGGGGGGCGCUGUCAGGGGAAAGGGGUGGAUCGGUGCUUGAACCGGGAGCCAGCAGAAAAUUCAUCUCAGCUAUUAGCUUGUAAUUACAGAGCAUGCAGGGAGCAGGCCCGAGGUCUGGGGCCAUGGAAGAGCGGGAUGAAAGGAAGCGGUAAUUACGGGUCCGCGGGAGGUGGAGGGCGGCCGCGGGCUGAUUAAUAUGCCCUCCGCCCGCGGAGCGGGAGCCCGCCGUCGCCGCGUUUAAUGGAGCGUCAGGGGCCUGCCCCCAACCCCCUGCCCCGUCGUGCCUGCUGUCCCUGCGCCUUUGGACAGCAGGCUCCCCGAUCGAUCGGGCUGUGUUCUGAAACACCAGGGACGAGGUGGUUCUGGAGAAUGUCCGCGGAGCCGCCAGCCAGGCUUGCCCCUUGGCACUUGGGUUUUUCUUCUUUGCCUUUUGCUUUGCUUUUUGAAGCUUUGAGCUGCUUCUGGCCAUAUUAGAGACCUGGGAGGAGGAGAGGAGAAAGUAUCGAUUAAAGACACCUCGCUUUGGUAGAAGGUGCAGGCCUGGCGGGCCUUGCUUCUCAACACCAGUGCCAUCCAGGAGGGAGGGGCCCGGCUGAUUCUGGGGGUGGCUUUUCCUCUCCGGUCCCCCGCACCGCCUCCGUCACGGGGGUCUCUUCUCUGGGUGUGUUGCUGUAGCAGCUCUUUUUUCUGGGGUCCCGGGGGGGCAGCUGAUGGUGGCAGGUGGGGGGGUCAGACAGCAGCCUGUGAUGCAGCUGAGAUGUCCAGGAGGCCCCCUGAGCGUGUGUGUGUGUGUGUGUGUGUGUGUGUGUGCACGUGUCAGGGCGGUCGAGCAGGAAGGGAGCCCGCCCCAGCCCUCAUCCAUCCCUGGCCUCCACGCUGUGGAGCCUGUUCCCAGCUGUUAGAAUGAUGGAUUUACAUGAGCUGAUAAUGUAGACAAGAACCCAGUUGAUGGCCAGGAGCGCAGAAGUUAAUGAAUACCUCUCUAAUGAGUGAGGGCUGCGCCCCUGCUCUGCGGGGCUUUUCCAGGGUGCCAGGGCUGCCUGAGGCCCCCUCCCACUUCCCCUUGCCCCUGUGGCUUCCACGGUCGGGGUGGUGCCUGCCUGGGCAGGGCUGGGGGGCAGAGCCGUCCUGAUGAGACCCCAAGGCUGCAACUGGGGGCGAGACCCAGAGAUGGGGACUGUGAUCUCGCGUCGACCCCCAGCAAAUUCAAGGUGACCCUUUGCAGGGUCCCCCACAUUUGGCCUUUGCCUGCCUGCAUCCUCGGUGCAA